UACGUAGGGGGCAAGCGUUGUCCGGAAUCAUUGGGCGUAAAGAGCGUGUAGGCGGCCCGAUAAGUCCGCUGUGAAAGUCCAGGGCUCAACCCUGGAAUGCCGGUGGAUACUGUCGGGCUCGAAUCCGGAAGAGGUGAGUGGAAUUCCUGGUGUAGCGGUGAAAUGCGCAGAUAUCGGGAGGAAUACCUAUGGCGAAAGCAGGCUACUGGACCAUCACUGACGCUGAUCUGCGAAAGCUAGGGGAGCAAACAGG
rnacentral:rRNA from 1 species